UAAUACUUAGGGUGCAAGCGUUAAUCGGAAUUACUGGGCGUAAAGCGAGUGUAGGCGGCUGCGUAAGUCGGAUGUGAAAGCCCCGGGCUCAACCUGGGAAUUGCAUUCGAAACUGCGUAGCUAGAGUUUGGUAGAGGUAAGUGGAAUUCCGGGUGUAGCGGUGAAAUGCGUAGAUAUCCGGAGGAACAUCAGUGGCGAAGGCGGCUUACUGGACCAAAACUGACGCUGAGGCUCGAAAGCGUGGGGAGCAAACAGGAUUAGAUACCCUGGUAGUCCACGCCCUAAACGAUGUCAACUAGACGUUGGGUUCAUUAAGGAACUUAGUGUCGUAGCUAACGCGUUAAGUUGACCGCCUGGGGAGUACGGCCGCAAGGUUG
rnacentral:rRNA from 1 species